AUGUAAAACGUUUUCGUUUGAAAGCUGCGCAACACCCUGCCGGAUAUCAGCCAAGCAUGCACCAGAGAUGGAGAAUAUUUCACAGCAGAGUGGUAGUGAACAGAGCUGCUGUCAAAAGAUAGAUUGGAUAUUGCAGAACUCUUCUGAUCCUGGUGACAUCAAUUCAAGAGAGAUAAAAAAAUGAAAUGAAUGUUUGGACUGUGCCUGUAGGCACGCAGCAGACAUUUUCUUAAAAAAAGAAGAAGACCACAGAC